rnacentral:misc_RNA from 1 species
AAAAGUUUUCUUUCUUAUAAAGAUUGAAACUUUGGUUCAUAAAUUUUAAUGGGUUCUUGUUUAAGUGUUCGAAUUAAAGCAGAAAGUCCUCUUCAUCAUGGAGCAAGUGAUGGAAGAGAGUUGAGUAGUAGGCAUUCAUAUUCAUCAGCUCCGUUGACUCCUCGUAGUCAGAGUGAAAUACUUGAAUCGUCGAAUCUGAAAAGUUUUAGUUUCAAUGAACUCCGAGUAGCCACGAGGAACUUUCGUCCAGAUAGUGUGUUGGGAGAAGGUGGUUUUGGU